GACGAACGCUGGCGGCGUGCCUAAUACAUGCAAGUAGAACGCUGAAGGAGGAGCUUGCUUCUCUUGAUGAGUUGCGAACGGGUGAGGAACGCGUAGGCAACCUGCUUGGUAGCUUGGGAUAACUAUUGGAAACGAUAGCUAAUAUCGCAUAAUAGUAGAUGUUGCAUGACAUUUACUUAAAAGGUGCACUUUCCUCACUACCAGAUGGCCCUGUGUUGUAUUAGCUAGUUGGUGGGGUAAAGGCCCACCAAGGCGACGAUCCAUAGCUGGGCUGAGAGGGUGAACAGACGAACUGGAACUGAGAAACGGUCCAGACUCCUACGGGAGGCAGACGUGGGGAAUAGGGGACAAGGGGCGCAAGCCUGAUCCAGUCAUACCGCGUGGGUGAAGAAGGCAUUCGGGUUGUAAAGCACUUUUGUUGGGAAAGAAAAGCAGCAGGUUAAUAACCCGCUGCUCUGAAGGUACCCAAAGAAUAAGCAACGGCUAACUUCGUG
rnacentral:rRNA from 1 species